rnacentral:rRNA from 1 species
UACAUGGGAUGCAAACGUUGCUCGGAAUUAUUGGGCGUAAAGCGCACGUAGGCGGUUCGUUAAGUCGGAUGUGAAAGCCCUCGGCUCAACUGAGGAAGUGCACCCGAAACUGGCGAGCUUGAGUACGAAAAGAGGAUCGCGGAAUUUCCCGGUGUAGAGGUGAAAUUCGUAGAUAUCGGGAGGAACACCGGUGGCGAAGGCGGCGAUCUGGGUCGAUACUGACGCUGAGGUGCGAAAGCGUGGGGGAGCAAACAGGG